AAAUCUGCAUACUCUUGGAUCCUAAGCUGCCCAUGAUUGUCCAUUAUAAAAUUGAAAUCAAUGGCAAUAUGACAAGCUGAGAUCAAGAAACUGCAAACCCACCAGAAUCUUAGAAUUCCGGGAAAAAUGAGCUGAGAGACCAGGAAGAUAGUGACUGCACGGAGUCUUGUUUCCUUUUACCAACAAGAUUAAAGAAGCCAAGUGCAAAACCAAGAGCAAAGUGGAAGAAACAAUGCUAGCUUUCGAGCAAAGGCUUAAUCUUGCAUUAUCAGGGCUAUCGAAAAUACAUGUAACCAUUCGCAUUAUGGUGUUUCAGAUAAGUAUUGCUUUUGUUCCUCUUAAUUACGUUUGUUCCUUCUUUUCCAUUUCAUUUACCCAAUUACUCCUAGAUUACCAUAUUAAGAUCAAUUUUUGUUUAUUUCAGGCUAUCGAAAAUACAUGUAACCAUUCGCAUUAAGGUGUUUCAGAUGAAGGGAGUUACUCCAUCAGGUAGCGCGAAUCCAAUUAUAUGAAGAGAAGUCCUCCCAACUUUGAACAAUGUAGCUUGAGAUGAAGUCUAACCUUUUAUGGAUAUUAAUAUAAUGUUUUAACCGUACUGUAUAUAUUUUUUUUAUGUACAAGCACCCUUACAUACAUAUCAUAAUACAGUUUUUUGGCCACAUUAUCAAUCAAGCAGGAUGUUCGUGUUAA